UACGUAGGGUGCGAGCGUUGUCCGGAAUUAUUGGGCGUAAAGAGCUCGUAGGUGGUUUGUCGCGUUGUUCGUGAAAACUCACAGCUUAACUGUGGGCGUGCGGGCGAUACGGGCAGACUGGAGUACUGCAGGGGAGACUGGAAUUCCUGGUGUAGCGGUGGAAUGCGCAGAUAUCAGGAGGAACACCGGUGGCGAAGGCGGGUCUCUGGGCCGUACCUGACGCUGAGGAGCGAAAGCGUGGGGAGCGAACAGG
rnacentral:rRNA from 1 species